rnacentral:rRNA from 1 species
AUUGAACGCUGGCGGCAUGCCUUACACAUGCAAGUCGAACGGCAGCACGGGAGCAAUCCUGGUGGCGAGUGGCGAACGGGUGAGUAAUAUAUCGGAACGUGCCCAGUCGUGGGGGAUAACGCAGCGAAAGCUGUGCUAAUACCGCAUACGAUCUAAGGAUGAAAGCGGGGGAUCGCAAGACCUCGCGCGAUUGGAGCGGCCGAUAUCAGAUUAGCUAGUUGGUGGGGUAAAGGCCCACCAAGGCGACGAUCUGUAGCUGGUCUGAGAGGACGACCAGCCACACUGGAACUGAGACACGGUCCAGACUCCUACGGGAGGCAGCAGUGGGGAAUUUUGGACAAUGGGCGCAAGCCUGAUCCAGCAAUGCCGCGUGCAGGAUGAAGGCCUUCGGGUUGUAAACUGCUUUUGUACAGAACGAAACGGCCCUUUCUAAUACAGGGGGCUAAUGACGGUACCGUAAGAAUAAGCACCGGCUAACUACGUGCCAGCAGCCGCAGUAACAC